ensembl:lncRNA
AUGUGUCCAAACGUCUCUGCCACCCUCAUAAACAGCCAUGAAGUCGGGAAAGCCUGCUGCUCUGCACCCGGGCCUGUUUCCACCUCACAUGAACGCACCUUGAGAGCAAUGUCUAGGAGCCACCUCUUCUCAGAAGCUUCCCGUCCCACCUCCAGCCGAGACGGGCCACCUCUGGCAACCUUCCGCCACACCUGGGAUCAGCCUCACACCAACGCCGCCGGGCAUGUAAUUAUACACUUUCUGGAACUAUGUGCUCACGGCUUGCCAACUAAGGGGUGAACUUUCUGAGGGUUGGCCUCCAGCUGCAUCCCAUGAGUCUUCUUUGGUGUCCUUCAAGGCCUCUGGAAGCAAGCUGGGCAGCACAGGGGCCUAAUAAACUUGCUCAGUGAUGUGUUGGAUGCUGUAGGACGUGAGUGAUGGGCAGGAUGGAUUCUCUCUGAAAGCUCCGCUGCUUGUUCCAGUCCCUCUCCGUCCUCUGCUCCAUUUCACUCCGCACACGUAGCUAUCACUACCACUGUGCUAUGUGUCUGUCUGUCUGCAUGUUUACGGCUGUCUCCCACGGCAGUGUCAGCUCCAGGGGAGGAAGGCCCUCCUUGCUUCUCCAGAUCCUCGCACACAUAGUAGCUGCUUGUUCCAUUGGGAUGUGUAUCCCUCCAAGUCUCAUGUUGACGUGAUCCCCAGUGUUGGAGGUGGGACCUAGUGGGAGGUGUUUGGCUGAUGGGGGGCAGAUCUCUCUUGAAUGGCUUGGUGCUGUCCUGGCAAGAGCGAGUGAAUUCUUGUGAGAUCUGGUUGUUUAAAGAGUGUGGCACCUGCAGCUUCUCUCUCACUCUGCUUUCACCAUGGGAUGCACCUGCUCCCCCUUCCCCUUCUACCUCAAUUGCUUGUAAGCUUCCUGAGGCCCUCAGGUGGCACAGAUGUCGGCGCCAGGCUUCCGGUAUGGCCUGUAGGAUCGUGAGCCAAUUCAAACUUUUUUCUUUACAAAUUGCCUAGCCGCAGGUGUUCCUUUGUGGCAGGGGUCUCCAACUCCCGAAACCAGGAGGUUAGGAACCAGACCACAGAGCAGGAGGUGAGCAGCAGGCAAGCAAGGGAGUGAAGCCUCCUCUGUAGUCACAGCCGCUGCCCAUCACUCACAUACUGCCUGAGCUCUGCCUUCUGUCAGAUCAGUGGCAGCGUUAGAUUCUCUAAGAAGGGUGACCCCUUCUGUGGACGGCGCAUGCGAGGGAUCUAGGGUGUGCUCCUUAAGAGAAUCUAGUGCCUGACGAUCUGUCACUGUCUCCCAACACCCCCAGAUGGGACCGUCUAGUUGCAAGCUCAGGGCUCCCACUGAUUCUAUACUAUCAUGAGUUGUAUAAUUAUUUAAUUAUAUAUUACAAUGUUAUAAUAAUGGAAAUAAAAUGCACAAUAAAUGAAUCAUCCUGAAACCACCUCCUGCUUCCAUGGCCUGUGGCAAAUUCACCUUCUGUGAAACCGGUCCUUGGUGCCAAAGAGGUUGGGGACUACUGCUUUUUUUGUUUUUUGUUUUUUUGAGACGGAGUUUUUGCUCUUGUUGCCCAGGCUGGAGUGCAAUGGCACAAUCUCAGCUCACUGCAACCUCUACUUCCCAGAUUCAAGCGAUUCUCUUGCCUCAGCUCCUGAGCAGCUGGGAUUAGAGGCAUGCACCACCAUGCCCAGCUAAGUUUUUGUAUUUAAUAGAGACAGGGUUUUGCCAUGUUGGUCGAGCUGGUCUUGAACUCCUGACCUCAGGUGAUCCACCUGCCUCGGCC